GCAUAACGCGAAGAACCUUACCCACCUUUGACAUGUACGGAAUCCUUUAGAGAUAGAGGAGUGCUCGAAAGAGAGCCGUAACACAGAUGCUGCAUGGCUGUCGUCAGCUCGUGCCGUGAGGUGUUCGGUUAAGUCCGGCAACGAGCGCAACCCGUACUGCCAGUUACCAUCAAGUAAUGUUGGGGACUCUGGCGGGACUGCCCGUGUCAAGCGGGAGGAAGGCGCGGAUGACGUCAAGUCCGUAUGGCUCUUACACCUGGGGCCGCAAACGUGCUACAAUGGCGGGUACAAUGGGCUGCUGCAUCGCGAGAUGUGGCGAACCUCCAAAACCCGCCCCAGUUCGGAUUGCAGCCUGCAACUCGGCUGCAUGAAGUCGGAAUCGCUAGUAAAGGGACAUCAGCUACGGUCCCUUGAAUACGUUCCCGGGUCUUGUACACACCG
rnacentral:rRNA from 1 species